rnacentral:rRNA from 1 species
UACGGAGGGAGCUAGCGUUGUUCGGAAUUACUGGGCGUAAAGCGCACGUAGGCGGCUUUUAAGUCAGGGGUGAAAUCCCGGGCUCAACCCCGGAACUGCCCUUGAAACUGGAGAGCUAGAAUCUUGGAGAGGCGAGUGGAAUUCCGAGUGUAGAGGUGAAAUUCGUAGAUAUUCGGAAGAACACCAGUGGCGAAGGCGGCUCACUGGACUGGUAUUGACGCUGAGGUGCGAAAGCGUGGGGAGCGAACAGG